AGUGCAAGCUUGGAUGGUGUUAGCGCUGGCAGAAAGUCCUGGAUUAGUUUGUACCGGUGUAGGUCCCUGAGUGGUGACUUGUCCCCCUUGAUGUUGUGGCAUUGGAUUAGUCUAGAUCCCCAGUAGCUUCAGUGACAUUGGCGACUUUAAGGUAUGCCUUAACUUCGUUCCAAUUGAUAAGAUUUUCAUCUAGAUGACAUCACGCAAAGUAUGACACUCUUCGAUGGUACGGCCUGCGUAUCGGUGAAAUGGACAGAACUUUGAAUAGUCGAGACCAGGAGGCCAGGGGAGUGGUUGAUCUCUGGGCAGAGAAAGGGUUUUAUAGGUCAGAAGGAUGGAGNUUUUACAGGUCAGAAGGAUGGAGAAUAGGGUAGGAAUGGGUAGGGCUAAUGGCGGGUAGUGAGCUCUGUUGGGUCCCCAGGGUCGCUUGGGAGCACCUUGUUGCUGCUGAGGAUCAUAAUUGGUCAGAUGCGCAACGUUGUUAUAAGCGGGUCUAGGCGGAGCUUGCGCUGGGUUUUUCGGUUGCGAUUGAGUAAGAGGGUUUUUAGGUUGUUAAGUGGGGGCGGCCCCGACCCCCUGGAUGGCUUGCUGAUUCCGGGUGCUCUGUUCUCUCUGUGCAUUUAGCUGUGCUUGAACCGCGUACUUGGAGCUAGACUCUUCCCAAAGAGACGACGACCUUCUUCCCGUUGCUCUAUCUCAUUGUUCCCCCUGAUCACUCUGGCGAGCCUGUGCUCAUCGACCAUCCCUUCGGGUUCUUCAGUUUCUAACACUGCAAACCGAGAGCCCUAUUGCUUAUUGCCAUCAUGUUCUCGCUCACCUCCGUGAAUUCCCCCUCUCUGAUUUCAAUUUAUCACUCCGCGUCGUCCCCUUUUCUGACCUAUCAUCCAAGGACCCUAUUUUCGUGAAGGUUUAUUUACUACAACAUUUUGCUUCUCUUGCUCUGUAUCAGUUCUCAUAGCAUCAUUAUUGUCCUUCCCUGCACUCGUGUCGGUUUGAUUUCAGUCCGUUGUAAACAUGACUCGGAUCUGUGACCGAAUUUACCGCAUUAAAAAGAAAUAAAAUGGAUAAAUACUCAAUUCUCUGAGUUCUUUUCCCUAAUCUACUUAAGGAACUGGCGCUGAGCCCUAGUGAAGAGGUACCUCCAUACUGAACACCAACUCACACCGAAUAGCCUUUGUUGUAUCGUCACUUUCGGAUCAACAUCCGGAAGAGGCUUUUUUGCGCUCAUCUCCUUCUCUUCAGGGGUAUGUAACUCCAAGCCAUCAACAUUUGGUUUGGGAAAACUACAUACCUUGAUGCUAACCUAUAAACUCCUUAAACCACCUCUUAAAGUGAACGUGAGUAGGAUCUUUAAGUUUCAGAGAGGGCUGCUAUUGCCUCUCCUUCACAAGCUCGAUUCCGAUGGUUAUGGUUACAGCAAUAGUGAACCUUCCGGGUCUUGACUAGG
rnacentral:lncRNA from 1 species